CCCUAGUAACUGCGAGUGAAGCGGGAAAAGCUCAAAUUUAAAAUCUGACAGUUGUUCUGGCUGUCCGAGUUGUAAUCUAGAGAAGUGUUACCCGUGCUGGACCGUGUACAAGUCUCCUGGAAUGGAGYAUCAUAGAGGGUGAGAAUCCCGUCUUUGACAUGGACUACCAGGGCUUUGUGGUGCGCUCUCAAAGAGUCGAGUUGUUUGGGAAUGCAGCUCAAAAUGGGUGGUAAAUGCCAUCUAAAGCUAAAUAUUGGCGAGAGACCGAUAGCGAACAAGUACCGUGAGGGAAAGAUGAAAAGAACUUUGGAAAGAGAGUUAAACAGUACGUGAAAUUGCUGAAAGGGAAACGCUUGAAGUCAGUCGCAUCGACUGGAAAUCAACCUUGCUUUUGCUCGGUGUAUUUUCUGGCUUGAUGGGUCAGCAUCAAUUUUGGUCGCUGGAUAAAGGCUUGGGGAAUGUGGCAUCUUAGGAUGUGUUAUAGCCCUUGGUUGCAUACAGCGGUUGGGAUUGAGGAACUCAGCACGCCGCAAGGCCGGGUCGUUUUACGACCACGUUUACGUGCUUAGGAUGCUGGCAUAAUGGCUUUAAUCGACCCGUCUUGAAACACGGACCAAGGAGUCUAACAUGCCUGCGAGUGUUUGGGUGGAAAACCCAUGCGCGCAAUGAAAGUGAAAAGUUGAGAUCCCUGUYGUGGGGAGCAUCGACGCCCAGACCAGACCUUUUGUGACGGAUCUGCGGUAGAGCAUGUAUGUUGGGACCCGAAAGAUGGUGAACUAUGCCUGAAUAGGGUGAAGCCAGAGGAAACUCUGGUGGAGGCUCGUAGCGAUUCUGACGUGCAAAUCGAUCGUCAAAUUUGGGUAUAGGGGCGAAAGACUAAUCGAACCAUCUAGUAGCU
rnacentral:rRNA from 1 species